GGCAGUUGCUCCAGCAAAAAAGACACUAAUCAGAGAAGAAAUUUAUCCCAAAUUACUCAACAUGGCAGAACCACAGAAGCGAAAGGUAGAGAGUGAGUGCAGACAAUUUCAGACACGGGUGAGUAUUUCUUCAAAGAAUUUCAGGGGAAGUGUGUCUGUUUGAUCUGCACUGAAACUGUGGCAGUUAUGAAAGAGUAUAACGUACGACGUCAUUAUGAGACAAAACAUCGGGCCUAUGCAUCCUACACUGGUGCUGAGCGAGGGCAGAAAGUAAAGCAAAUGGUAGGUAACCUGCAGGGUCAGCAACAGUAUUUUUUUGUGCUCAAAAAGUCCAAGAAAAGGCUACAAUAGCCAGCUAUGAGGUCGCCGAACUCAUCGCAAGACAUGGCAAGCCUUUUUCAGAUGGAGACUUAAAACACUGUCUCGUUAAAGUCGCCGAAACUAUGUGCCUGGAAAAAGUGCAGGAGUUCAACAACGUUAGCAUGUCCAGAAAUACAAUUGUGCGACGCAUUGAAGACUUGUCAGCCAACAUUAAACUGCAACUGUCUGAUAAAGCUUGUGCUUUUGAUUUUUACUCCAUCGCAUGCGAUGAGAGCACUGAUGCCACAGACACCGCACAGCUGCUAAUUUUUUUGCUGCUCGAUCUUAAAAGUCUAAAAGGCACAACAACGGGUAUGGAUAUUUUUGAAGCUGUGUCAGACUUCGAUCCAAAGCGCAGCAUCACUGCUCCCACUGAGUGCAAUGCCGUUCCCACUUUAGAGUACACACCGCUGUGCACAGUGCACACACUGCACACGCAAAGUCAGCUGAUCUCAUCUGAUGAAGAUUUGCUCCUUGAUCAAGUGAAUUUGUCCGGAUUUUUGGCACGAGUGGCGUCGGAUCAGCACCGCAGCUGGAUGGCCCAAUUUACAUACCCAGCGUAGCUGAUAUUCACCAGAAUAAUUUACUAAAAUUAUAUGUACUCCUGUUAUUAAGUCCAGUUCAGUCUGUUAAUGUUGUUUCCGUUUCAGACGAACGUUAAUAGGUGUGUUGCUAACCCUAAUAACUUAAAUAACAAGCUUGAAAUUUAGCCGUUCCAUUUUCCACUUCAUUGUUUUUUCUCUGUACUGUAAAGCUUCUGUCUAAAUCUGAGGCUGCUGUUCUGAGAAUGAGCUUUUUCUGAAUAAAUCAGUUAAGAAAGCUGUGAUGAAGGCAGUUUUGUUUUUAAUUAUAUUCAACAAUUUAACAUAUUUGCCCACUUUUAAUUGAUUUUUCUAACUUUAAUACACUAAAGUUAAGGCUAUAUACCUAAUUUCUAGUAUGUGGCCCAGCCCCUUCUAUAUUUUUAUGCAUGUGGCCCUCAGUGAAAAAAGUUUGGACACCCCUGAUCUAGUGUUACCAGUUUGCUUCAGCAGUGCCCUUGAAGUGCAAGACAGUUAACCCUUAGUUUUUGAAAUAUUUUCUGUGUUUUACCAUGUUACACAGUAUAUGUAAUAUGGUGAAUUUGUGUAUUGAGCAGCAAGUGGGGCCCAUAGAUGUAAUCAAACACCGGGAACAACCUUAAAGUCUGAGCAUUGAUUUAUUUAUCAAAAUAAUUAAAUUAAUGCUAACUGAACUGAACUGGAGAUUGUUUUUGUGGCAUAAAAUAAAUACAGACAGAAAUAUGAAACAGCUUUAUAGCAAAAUUAACUAAUGUUGACAAAAGCUAAACAGAAUGUUGUAAUAGAAUUGAAGAUUAAUCAGAAAUUGUGACUGUACAGAAAUGGCAAAAUUAUGCAUUACAGAUGCAAUGCAUUUGUACAGCCGUUAAAAAAACAAACAGCUCUAUCUAUAUUUCCAAUUAAACAGUUAAGAAAUCUGACAAUAAUUUGAACUGAGCUUUACCUUUUGCCAAGAAGUGCAAUGAAUGAUUAGCUCUAUAUGCUCAUAUACAACAAUCCUUUUAAUGACUGUGCCAGCACAGAAACAUUCUAAGACAAGUGCCAAAUAAGACUCAACCUCAAAUUGUCAUAUAUAUCAUGACAGCUGUAGAGGUACUUUUACUAUCAUUGGUCUUUGAAAAAGGAACUGCAUUGUGAGGAAAAUGUUUUUUUUAUUUCCUGGGCUUUAGUCAAACUAGACAUCUACUAAUUGAGUGAUCAGAGCCAAAGAUAUUUCUGUUUAGUUUCAAGACUAAAUUGUGUACAACAUGGAGUCUUGAUAAAAUGACAGAACUCAACCAAUCCCAACUGUAUAGCCUUUAAGUAUUUAGCAAUUCAGCUUCGGUAAACAACUAAGAAAAGUUCCAGUCUGAUGCUCUUCCUAAAAAUGCAGUCACAUAAAACCAUUCUGUGAAAUGCAGUUCAAGACUGGGAAUGCUAGAAACAGAGAUGGAAAUUACCUUGAAAACCUGAAGAAAAUGGACCCCGUGGAAAUCGCAGGAAUAACAGGAUCAAGAUAUAUAACAAAUUUCAUGUUUUACAGUACCAGCCGAAAGGACACUUA